rnacentral:rRNA from 1 species
GACGAACGCUGGCGGCGUGCUUAACACAUGCAAGUCGAACGGAAAGGCCCUGCUUUUGUGGGGUGCUCGAGUGGCGAACGGGUGAGUAACCCGUGAGUAACCUGCCCUUGCCUUUGUGAUAACUUCAGGAAACUGGGGCUAAUACCGGAUAGGAGCUCCUGCUGCAUGGUGGGGGUUGGAAAGUUUCGGCGGUUGGGGAUGGACUCGCGGCUUAUCAGCUUGUUGGUGGGGUAGUGGCUUACCAAGGCUUUGACGGGUAGCCGGCCUGAGAGGGUGACCGGCCACCUUGGGACUGAGAUACGGCCCAGACUCCUACGGGAGGCAGAAGUGGGAAAUAUUGCACAAUGGGCGGAAGCCUGAUGCAGCAACGCCGCGUGCGGGAUGACGGCCUUCGGGUUGUAAACCGCUUUCGCCUGUGACGAAGCGUGAGUGACGGUAAUGGGUAAAGAAGCACCGGCUAACUACGUG